CCUGCCCAAGAGAUCGGGAUAACACCUGAAACAGAUGCUAAUACCGGAUAACAACAGAUGAUGCCUAUCAACUGUUUAAAAGAUGGUUCUGCUAUCACUCUUGGAUGGACCUGCGGUGCAUUAGCUAGUUGGUAGGGUAACGGCCUACCAAGGCGAUGAUGCAUAGCCGAGUUGAGAGACUGAUCGGCCACAUUGGGACUGAGACACGGCCCAAACUCCUACGGGAGGCAGCAGCU
rnacentral:rRNA from 1 species